AACGAACGCUGGCGGCAGGCCUAACACAUGCAAGUCGAACGCAUCGCAAGAUGAGUGGCGCACGGGUGAGUAACACGUGGGAAUGUAUCCUUUGGUUCGGAAUAACGUUUGGAAACGGACGCUAAUACCGGAUGAGCCCUAUGGGGGAAAGAUUUAUCGCCGAAGGAGCAGCCCGCGUCUGAUUAGGUAGUUGGUGGGGUAAAGGCCUACCAAGCCGACGAUCAGUAGCUGGUCUGAGAGGAUGAUCAGCCACACUGGGACUGAGACACGGCCCAGACUCCUACGGGAGGCAGCAGUGGGGAAUAUUGGACAAUGGGCGCAAGCCUGAUCCAGCCACGCCGCGUGAGUGAUGAAGGCCUUCGGGUUGUAAAGCUCUUUCGCACACGACGAUGAUGACGGUAGUGUGAGAAGAAGCCCCGGCUAACUUCGUGCCAGCCGCCGCCGUAAUAC
rnacentral:rRNA from 1 species